GUAAACAGUUGCUUUAUUAAAAAUUAGCAAAGUAUUUCUAGCCAAUAUGCUAUAAAAAAAGGCAAGUUUGACGUAUAGUAAGAACAAUCAUAACAUCAGAUUAUAAGUCUAAUGAUCUUAUGUAGGGGAGCACCUGCACUUUUUUAUUAUGUAUUACAUAUAUAUAUAGAUUGUUUUAGCCCACAUCUCUAAUUUAUGCUUAUUAGUGCAUAAGUUGCAAACCUACAGCUUCAGACUGCCUGCAACUAUUAACAUGCUAGAACAUAACUCUCAUUUGAGUAUUUUCAGUUGGGAUUGUAAAAGUUGUUCUUCUGAACUUUAGAAUAAAUAUUCAGAAAGGUCAGUUUAUUAAUAAAUUUAGAGCUGCUGUUUUAAUUUCAGAAGAUAUCCAGAUAGCCAGUAUCAAUAAUCCUGAGGAUGCACUAGGCCUUUUUAGAAUUUGAUUGAGAUAGUCCUAAGUUUUGUUCCAAGCUUUAUAUUCACCAUACUGUCAGCAUGUUUUGAUCUGUGUUAGUGCAUGUUUCAGAUUUACCCAUGAAAAAUAUAUCUGCAUUUAGAAAUGAUUUUAUAUAAAAGAACAAAAAUUUUGUCUCCAAAUUAUUUUUUCAAAAAUAAUUUGGAGACACUUGAUCAAUUUUUUUGUGAAAAACUUGUCAGAAAGUACGUAUACUCAUUUAAUAUAUUUUUAUUUAAUAACAUCUUGUUUUUGUUUGCAGAUCACGAUCCCGUUCUCGUUCCCAUUCUCCCCAAGAAAACGAUCAGAAUAGAUUAAGUG
rnacentral:lncRNA from 1 species